UACGAAGGGGGGCUAGCGUUGCUCGGAUUGACUGGGCGUAAAGGGCGCGUAGGCGGUUCGUACAGUCAGACGUGAAAUUCCUGGGCUCAACCUGGGGGCUGCGUUUGAUACGUGCGGACUUGAGUGCGGAAGAGGGUCGUGGAAUUCCCAGUGUAGAGGUGAAAUUCGUAGAUAUUGGGAAGAACACCGGUGGCGAAGGCGGCGACCUGGUCCGAUACUGACGCUGAGGAGCGAAAGCGUGGGGAGCGAACAGG
rnacentral:rRNA from 1 species